rnacentral:rRNA from 1 species
AUUGAACGCUGGCGGCAGGCCUAACACAUGCAAGUCGAACGGUAGCACAGAGAGCUUGCUCUCGGGUGACGAGUGGCGGACGGGUGAGUAAUGUCUGGGAAACUGCCUGAUGGAGGGGGAUAACUACUGGAAACGGUAGCUAAUACCGCAUAAUGUCGCAAGACCAAAGAGGGGGACCUUCGGGCCUCUUGCCAUCGGAUGUGCCCAGAUGGGAUUAGCUUGUUGGUGAGGUAAAGGCUCACCAAGGCGACGAUCCCUAGCUGGUCUGAGAGGAUGACCAGCCACACUGGAACUGAGACACGGUCCAGACUCCUACGGGAGGCAGCAGAGGGGAAUAUUGCACAAUGGGCGCAAGCCUGAUGCAGCCAUGCCGCGUGUGUGAAGAAGGCCUUCGGGUUGUAAAGCACUUUCAGCGGGGAGGAAGGCGGUGAGUUUAAUAAGCUCACCGAUUGACGUUACCCGCAGAAGAAGCGCCGGCUAACUCCGUGCCAGCAGCCGCAGUAA